rnacentral:rRNA from 1 species
UACGGGGGGGGCAAGCGUUGUUCGGAAUUACUGGGCGUAAAGGGUGCGUAGGCGGUUUGCUAUGUCGGAUGUGAAAACUCUGGGCUCAACCCAGAGCCUGCAUCCGAAACUGGCGAGCUAGAGUUCUGGAGGGGGUAGCGGAAUUCCUGGUGUAGCGGUGAAAUGCGUAGAUAUCAGGAGGAACACCGGUGGCGAAGGCGGCUACCUGGACAGAAACUGACGCUGAGGCACGAAAGUGUGGGGAUCAAACAGG